UACGGGGGGGGCAAGCGUUGUUCGGAAUUACUGGGCGUAAAGGGCUCGUAGGCGGCCAACUAAGUCAGACGUGAAAUCCCUCGGCUUAACCGGGGAACUGCAUCUGAUACUGGAUGGCUUGAGUUCGGGAGAGGGAUGCGGAAUUCCAGGUGUAGCGGUGAAAUACGUAGAUAUCUGGAGGAACACCGGUGGCGAAGGCGGCAUCCUGGACCGACACUGACGCUGAGGAGCGAAAGCCAGGGGAGCAAACGGG
rnacentral:rRNA from 1 species